GUCUACGGCCAUACCACCCUGAACGCGCCCGAUCUCGUCUGAUCUCGGAAGCUAAGCAGGGUCGGGCCUGGUUAGUACUUGGAUGGGAGACCAAAAGAGAAAAUAAAAAGGGAUGGGGGUGUGGCUC
rnacentral:rRNA from 1 species